rnacentral:rRNA from 1 species
UACAGAGGUCUCAAGCAUUGUUCGGAUUCAUUGGGCGUAAAGGGUGUGUAGGUGGCGCGCUAAGUCGGGUGUGAAAUUUCGGAGCUUAACUCCGAAACUGCAUUCGAUACUGGCGUGCUUGAGGACUGGAGAGGAGACUGGAAUUCAUGGUGUAGCAGUGAAAUGCGUAGAGAUCAUGAGGAAGACCAGUGGCGAAGGCGGGUCUCUGGACAGUUCCUGACACUGAGACACGAAGGCCAGGGGAGCAAACGGG